ensembl:lncRNA
UCUUAGCCACAAGGACGAUGGGGCUGCACCAGACACUGUUGGACUCUUCUAUUACCUUUUUACAUUACAGGUCAUUUAGCAGACGCUUUUUAUCCAAAGCAAUUUACAUUACAAUUUAAACCCAUGGCUUUUUCAAAAUUUGCCUGGGGAGCAAUCAGGGGUUAGGUGUCUUGCUCAGGGACACUUCGACUUGAGACAUGGGGCAGCCGGACUUGAACCGCCAACCUUGCGGUUCCCAGCAGACCCGCUCUACCCCCUGCGCCACAACGACCAACAUACUCGCCAAUUCCCUCCAAACCACUUCUUUCUUGCAACCUGUAGGGGCGUGACCUCACCGUCACGCCCGGGGGCGUCUCGAUGCUGUGCACUAUGAGGUUGACCCGGCCUGCCAAGAGAGAGCCUGGCCUCCCGGAACCGCCGGCGGUGGUCCUCCGCCGACAGCCCCGGCCUGUCUGUUACUGCCGUAUGACGUUGUCGUAAUCGUGCCGCGCCGCCGGUGGCAGCCCCAUGGAUGCGGUCUGCGCCUCCCAGGUCAGGAGAGGCAAAAGCCGGACCGGCCACUCCCCUGCCAGCCAACCGCAGGCCUCCGCCGUCGCCUCGAAGGCCUCCAGGAACGCCUGGACGUCCUCCCCCCCUGCCAUUCGGUGGAGCGUGAGACCGGCGAACGCCGCGGGCUCCAGCGACGGUGGCGCAGCCACAGUCCACGCCGCCAGCUGCUCCAGCGCCUGGGCCUGUCUCCCCACCUGUGCCUGGAGCGCCGCCAGGAACAGCCGGUUGGCCUCUGCCUGCUCCCAAUCGCCAUGAUUGUCCACUGUUUCAUAUUAUAUGGUGUAGUAAAUGUUCGUCAAAUUCGGACCGAGUCUCUCCUGAUUGAACUGCAAAAUGCAUAAAGCACAUCGGCUCAUAACGACUGGUGCGUAUCAUGGAAACUUGUUUUUAUUUUAGUUAUUUUUAAAGCAGAAUAAGAGCUGAUGAGUUGGUCACCUUGUCAACAAAAAGUCAGGGCUGACUCUGGUUGUCAAUGAAGCAGACAUCAUCUUUGCACAGUUGUUUCCUGUCUGCAGGAAAAUGCAACAAAUCACCCGCAAAACUAACCAUGGCAACAUGUCUAAAGAUGUUAAUACAUUUUUCACAACAUUUUCUUUCAACUACACUGCUAAAUCAUGCAUCAACAGUUUUUAAAGGCUGAUGUGGAGUUUGAAAAUAACCCAUCAAUAUCUUAAGGGGGAGAGCGCAGCGAGGCAGAGCCUGCCGGUUGAGUGUUUGAAUUCUUUCUUCUGCCACACAGUGAAAGUCGUCAUGCACAGAGAAGGAAGCAGCUCCCCACAGCCAAACACUCAAUGGAUUUUACAACACAAUCUCAAUGCUUAUUGCCGUGCCAAUUAUAAUCCCCUUCGCCAGCCACGCACUGCCAUGCAUGCUGAAGGACAAAAAUGAAACAACUAUUAAUACAAACGCAGAAAGAAGAAAACGCUGGCACCAUGAACAAAAGGAAGAGCUUCUCUACCACCAGGCGUAAAGCCGUUUCCAGUCAUUUUAAACGCUGACAUCCUACAUGUGGCAGUGGGGUCCUUGGUUUGAAUAUAUUUCAGAAAGAGAAGCAGGUCAGGUAUUAUGAGGAUUCUCAUAGAGCACCAAUAACCUAAGUGGGAUUGAGAUCAUAUGACUCCCACUGGGAAUUGUCUUGAUUUGAAAUAUUCAACAACAUUAUAUAAGAUAAACGCUUAAAAUAAUAAUAAUUGUUAUAAUAGAAUAUUGUGGUAAAGCAAACCAUUAAAAAACAGAAUAGCUUGUGCUCCUAUAUAGACAUUGUAUUUCUUUUUACUUUCAUUUUCAAUUAAUUUUAUUUUGUAUAGCCCAAAAUUGCAAAAUAAAAAUUUGCCUCAGAGGGGUUUACAUUCUGUACACAUACGACAUCCUCUGCCCCGAAACCCUCACAUCAGCACAUGGGGAAAAAAAGAAACCUUAGGGAGAACGUCAGAGCCGGAUCCCCCUGGAUGGACGGACUACAAUUCUCAAAACUACUACUUCCAUAUGAGUUUUGAUCGCUUAAGCCAGUGAUUACCAAACGUUUUCCGUCAGGGUCCUCUUUGAGGAUACAGGGACAUUGUAAGAACCCUCUUUGAGGAUACAGGGACAUUGUAAGAACCCUCUUUGAGGAUACAGGGACAUUGUAAGAACCCUCUUUGAGGAUACAGGGACAUCGUAAGAACCCUCUUUGAGGAUACAGGGACAUUGUAAGAACAUACAGGGACAUUGUAAGAACCCUCUUUGAGGAUACAGGGACAUUGUAAGAACAUACAGGGACAUUGUAAGAACCCUCUUUGAGGAUACAGGGACAUCGUAAGAACCCUCUUUGAGGAUACAGGGACAUUGUAAGAACCCUCUUUGAGGAUACAGGGACAUUGUAAGAACAUACAGGG